AUACGUAGGGGGCGAGCGUUGUCCGGAAUGAUUGGGCGUAAAGGGCGCGUAGGCGGCCCGGUAAGUCUGGAGUGAAAGUCAUGUUUUUAAGAUGGGAAUUGCUUUGGAUACUGUCGGGCUUGAGUGCAGGAGAGGUAAGUGGAAUUCCCAGUGUAGCGGUGAAAUGCGUAGAGAUUGGGAGGAACACCAGGGGCGAAGGCGACUUACUGGACUGUAACUGACGCUGAGGCGCGAAAGUGUGGGGAGCAAACAGGAUUAGAUACCCUGGUAGUCCACACUGUAAACGAUGAAUGCUAGGUGUAGGGGGUAUCGACCCCUUCUGUGCCGCAGUCAACGCAAUAAGCAUUCCGCCUGGGGAGUACGGCCGCAAGGUUGAAACUCAAAUGAAUUGGCGGGG
rnacentral:rRNA from 1 species